rnacentral:rRNA from 1 species
CACGUAGGAGGCGAGCGUUGUCCGGAAUCAUUGGGCGUAAAGAGCGCGCAGGCGGCCCGGCAAGUCGGGUGUGAAAUCCCGGGGCUCAACCCCGGGACUGCAUUCGAUACUGCCGGGUUAGAGGUAGGUAGGGGAGAUCGGAAUUCCUGGUGUAGCGGUGAAAUGCGUAGAUAUCUGGAGGAAUACCGGUGGCGAAGGCGGCAUCCUGGACCGACAUUGACGCUGAUGAGCGAAAGCUAGGGGAGCAAACGGG